GAGCAAGGUCAUCUGAUAUAUAUGGUGCAACCUUGCAUUGAAGGUUGGCUAUAUGAAAAUAGGGCGAUUCUCCGUGCCUUUCGAUCUUUAUUUAUAUCGAUUGUGGCCUCGAACAUAUUGCUACAUG